rnacentral:misc_RNA from 1 species
AAGCUCAAUCUGUCCAGCACCCUACCUUCUCCCACCGUGUUGAGAAACACGGUGGGUCCGGCGAGAGUUUGAGAACGUGAUUCUGAAACGGGCAUGCUCCCCGGAAUACCAGGGAGCGCAAUGUGCGUUCAAAGAUUCGAUGAUUCACUGAAUUCUGCAAUUCACACUACUUAUCGCAUUUCGCUGCGUUCUUCAUCGAUGCUUCACAGACUAUAC